rnacentral:lncRNA from 1 species
AGAAAGCCCUGAGCCCCGGUUACCCUGACGUCUGCAACCGUGCUCGCGUCCCCAUGCCGAGCAACAAAGUCUACGUGGUGCGACCCAAGUGGAACGUGCAGUCUAACAGGGUUCCGAAGAAUGGAAUGGUGCGCUUGGACAAACAAGUGCGUCGCCUAGCAACCAUCCGACGUCAGGCUAUGACGUGCCACUCAGUUAAAGUCAGCAUCAACGGAAACCGGCUCUGAGACCCUCCACAUACUUUCUUUUAUUUUCAGGACUUUUAUUCUGUAGUUUCAUUUCCUUUCAUGAAUAAAGUCUUCAGAUCCCCUCA